AACGAACGCUGGCGGCAUGCCUAACACAUGCAAGUCGAACGAGACCUUCGGGUCUAGUGGCGCACGGGUGCGUCACGCGUGGGAACCUGCCCUUAGGUUCGGAAUAACUCCCCGACAGGGGUGCUAAUACCGGAUAAUGUCUUCGGACCAAAGAUUUAUCGCCUUUGGAUGGGCCCGCGUUGGAUUAGCUAGUUGGUAGGGUAAAAGCCUACCAAGGCGACGAUCCAUAGCUGGUCUGAGAGGAUGAUCAGCCACACUGGGACUGAGACACGGCCCAGACUCCUACGGGAGGAAGCAGUGGGGAAUAUUGGACAAUGGGCGAAAGCCUGAUCCAGCAAUGCCGCGUGAGUGAUGAAGGCCUUAGGGUUGUAAAGCUCUUUUACCCGGGAUGAUAAUGACAGUACCGGGAGAAUAAGCUCCGGCUAACUCCGUG
rnacentral:rRNA from 1 species